rnacentral:lncRNA from 1 species
AAAUCAAAAUUAUAUAUAUAUAUAUAUAUGAAUUAAGCUCCUAUUCUUUUAAAAGUACCAAAUCAUUGGUGCUUGUAUAUUUUCGGCUUUGGAUUAAGGGAUGUGCGGUUAGAAUGAUGUGGGAAUAUAUAUAUAUAUAUAUAUAUAUAUAUAUAUGAAUUGAGCUCCUAUUCUUUUAAAAGUACCAAAUCAUUGGUGCUUGUAUGUUUUCGGCUCUUGGAUUAAGAGAUAUACGGUUUGGAUGAUGUGGGCCCCUUAGAGUUGAGUGGGUGGUUGGUUGAAUAGUAUAAUCUAACAGAUAAAAAUGAUCAAAGAUAUAGAUCUAACGAUAAAAAAUUUACAAGCACCAAGUGCUUAUGCUUUUACCGGCACCAUAGCGGGACUCAUAUAUAUAUAUAUAUUGUAUUAUUAUAGCAUAUACAGUGCGAACC